rnacentral:rRNA from 1 species
CCCUUAGACACUCUAGGCGGCACGCGCGCUACAAUGGGUGGAAGAACGUGUUACUGCCUCCGAAAGGAGGGGUGAAUCGCGAAUUCUUGCCCGUGAAUGGGAUAGUUUGUUGCAAUUUUCGGACUUGAACUAGGAAUCCCUUGUAAACAUGCUCAAGAAUAGCGUGUUGAAUACGUCCCUGCCGUUUGUACACACCGCCCGUCGUUUCUUCCGACUGAUACUCAUUGUGAGUUGCAAGGACCCUUUAUUGGGAAAUUGCUGCAAAUGCUUUGUAUUGGAGGAAGAAAAAGUCGUAACA